AGUGAACGCUGGCGGUAGGCCUAACACAUGCAAGUCGAACGGCAGCACAGUAAGAGCUUGCUCUUACGGGUGGCGAGUGGCGGACGGGUGAGGAAUACAUCGGAAUCUACUUUUUCGUGGGGGAUAACGUAGGGAAACUUACGCUAAUACCGCAUACGACCUACGGGUGAAAGCAUGGGAUCUUCGGACCUUGCGCGAUUGAAUGAGCCGAUGUCGGAUUAGCUAGUUGGCGGGGUAAAGGCCCACCAAGGCGACGAUCCGUAGCUGGUCUGAGAGGAUGAUCAGCCACACUGGAACUGAGACACGGUCCAGACUCCUACGGGAGGCAGCAGUGGGGAAUAUUGGACAAUGGGAGCAAGCCUGAUCCAGCCAUACCGCGUGGGUGAAGAAGGCCUUCGGGUUGUAAAGCCCUUUUGUUGGGAAAGAAAAGCAGCAGGUUAAUACCCCGCUGUUCUGACGGUACCCAAAGAAUAAGCACCGGCUAACUUCGUG
rnacentral:rRNA from 1 species